ACAACGACUUUGAAGGAAAGUAGUAAUACGUUUGAUUUAUUAACAGGGACAGUUGGUAAGGUGAGAGCAGCUGAUUAAAUCUUGUAUGAAUUCAUUCUGGAGUUGAAAACGUGUGUCGGCGUUAGACGACAAACAAGUGUGUCAAAGUGUUUUCUUUUUGGCAAACGAGGGUGGUACCGCGAGCUUCGUCCCUGAG
rnacentral:ncRNA from 1 species